rnacentral:tRNA from 1 species
UCCCUCAUAGCUCAGUCGGUAAAGAAUCUGCCUGCAGUGCAGGAGACCUGGGUUCAAUUCCUGGGUCGGGAA